rnacentral:rRNA from 1 species
GAUGAACGCUGGCGGCGUGCCUAAUACAUGCAAGUCGAGCGAACGGACGAGAAGCUUGCGUCUCUGAUGUUAGCGGCGGACGGGAGAGUAACACGUGGAUAACCUACCUAUAAGACUGGGAUAACUUCGGGAAACCGGAGCUAAUACCGGAUGAUAUCUUGAACCGCAUGGUUCAAAAGUGAAAGACGGUCUUGCUGUCACUUCUAGCUGGAUCCGCGCUGCAUUAGCUAGUUGGUAAGGUAACGGCCUACCACGGCAACUAUGCAUAGCCGACCUGAGGGAGUGAUCGGCCACCCUGGAGCUGAGACACGGUCCAGACUCCUGCGGGAGGCAGCAGUAGGGAAUCGUCCGCAAUAGGCGAGAGCCUGACGGAGCAGCGCCGCGUGAGUGAUGAAGGUCUUCGGAUCGUAAAACUCUGUUAUUAGGGAAAAACAUAUGUGUAAGUAACUGUGCACAUCUUGACGGUACCUGAUCAGAAAGCAACGGCUAACUACGUG